GAUGAACGCUGGCGGCGUGCCUAAUACAUGCAAGUCGAGCGAACGGACGAGAAGCUUGCUUCUCUGAUGUUAGCGGCGGACGGGUGAGUAACACGUGGAUAACCUACCUAUAAGACUGGGAUAACUUCGGGAAACCGUAGCUAAUACCGGAUAAUAUUUUGAACUGCAUGGUUCAAAAGUGAAAGACGGUCUUGCUGUCACUUAUAGAUGGAUCCGCGCUGCAUUAGCUAGUUGGUAAGGUAACGGCUUACCAAGGCAACGAUGCAUAGCCGACCUGAGAGAGUGAUCGGCCCCACUGGAACUGAGACACGGUCCAGACUCCUACGGGAGGCAGCAGUAGGGAAUCUUCCGCAAUGGGCGAAUGCCUGACGGAGCAACGCCGCGUGAGUGAUGAAGGUCUUCGGAUCGUAAAACUCUGUUAUUAGGGAAGAACAUAUGUGUAAGUAACUGUGCACAUCUUGACGGUACCUAAUCAGAAAGCCACGGCUAACUACGUG
rnacentral:rRNA from 1 species